rnacentral:rRNA from 1 species
AGCGAACGCUGGCGGCGUACUUAACACAUGCAAGUCAUACGGGGAUCGUCGGGUUAGCAAUAAUUCGGCGGUCCUAGUGGCGUACGGGUGAGUAACACGUGGGUAACCUGCCCUUGAGACCGGGAUACCCUCUCGAAAGGGAGGCUAAUACUGGAUACGUUCCCUGGGGCGCAAGACCUGGGGAGGAAAGGUGGCGCAAGCUGCCGCUCUUGGAGGGGCUCGCGGCCUAUCAGCUAGUUGGUGAGGUAACGGCUCACCAAGGCGAUGACGGGUAGCUGGUCUGAGAGGACGACCAGCCACACGGGAACUGAGACACGGUCCCGACUCCUACGGGAGGCAGCAGUGGGGAAUUUUCCGCAAUGGGCGAAAGCCUGACGGAGUGACGCCGCGUGGGGGACGAAGGCCUUCGGGUCGUAAACCCCUGUCAGAGGGAAAGAAGGGUGUCGGCGUGAACAGCGUCGGCACUUGACGGUACCUUCAGAGGAAGCCCCGGCCAACUCUGUGC